GGGGUUGUAGCUCAAUGGUGGAGCCUUUGUUUUGCUUGCAGAAGGUCUCAGGUUCAGUCCCCAGCAUCUUCA